rnacentral:rRNA from 1 species
UACGUAGGGACCAAGCGUUGUUCGGAUUUACUGGGCGUAAAGGGCGCGUAGGCGGCAAUUCAAGUCAUCUGUGAAAUCUCCGGGCUUAACUCGGAACGGUCAGAUGAUACUGCUUUGCUCGAGUGCGGAAGGGGCAAUCGGAAUUCUUGGUGUAGCGGUGAAAUGCGUAGAUAUCAAGAGGAACACCUGAGGUGAAGACGGGUUGCUGGGCCGACACUGACGCUGAGGCACGAAAGCGUGGGUAGCAAACAGG